rnacentral:rRNA from 1 species
GACGAACGCUGGCGGCGUGCCUAAUACAUGCAAGUCGAACGCAGUGGGGACGGGUGAGUAACACGUUGGUUACCUCCCAUCAGAGGGGAUAACACUUGGAAACAGGUGCUAAACCGAUACUGAUGGAUGAACCCGCGGUGCAUUAGCUAGUUGGUGAGGUAACGGCUAACCAAGGCCACGAUGCAUAGCAGAGCUGAGAGGGUGAUCGGCCACACGGGGACUGAGACACGGCCCAGACUCCUACGGGAGGCAGCAGUAGGGAAUCGUCGGAAAUGGACGAAAGUCUGACCGAGCAACGACAAGUGAGUGAAGAAGGUUGUCGGAGCGUAAAACUCUGUUGUUAGAGAAGCGGUAUCUAACCAGAAAGCCACGGCUAACUACGUGCCAGCAGCCGCGGUAAUAC